UGGGGAAUAUUGCACAAUGGGGGCAACCCUGAUCCAGCAAUGCCGCGUGUGUGAAGAAGGUCUUCGGAUUGUAAAGCACUUUCGACGGGGACGAUGAUGACGGUACCCGUAGAAGAAGCCCCGGCUAACUUCGUGCCAGCAGCCGCGGUAAUACGAAGGGGGCUAGCGUUGCUCGGAAUGACUGGGCGUAAAGGGCGUGUAGGCGGUUUACACAGUCAGAUGUGAAAUCCCCGGGCUUAACCUGGGAGCUGCAUUUGAUACGUGUAGACUAGAGUGUGAGAGAGGGUUGUGGAAUUCCCAGUGUAGAGGUGAAAUUCGUAGAUAUUGGGAAGAACACCGGUGGCGAAGGCGGCAACCUGGCUCAUGACUGACGCUGAGGCGCGAAAGCGUGGGGAGCAAACAGGAUUAGAUACCCUGGUAGUCCACGCUGUAAACGAUGUGUGCUAGAUGUUGGGUAACUUUGUUAUUCAGUGUCGCAGUUAACGCGUUAAAGCACACCGCCU
rnacentral:rRNA from 1 species